rnacentral:rRNA from 1 species
AGUGAACGCUGGCGGUAGGCCUAACACAUGCCAGUCGAACGGCAGCACAGUAAGAGCUUGCUCUUACGGGUGGCGAGUGGCGGACGGGUGAGGAAUACAUCGGAAUCUACUUUUUCGUGGGGGAUAACGUAGGUAAACUUACGCUAAUACCGCAUACGACCUACGGGUGAAAGCAGGGGAUCUUCGGACCUUGCGCGAUUGAAUGAGCCGAUGUCGGAUUAGCUAGUUGGCGGGGUAAAGGCCCACCAAGGCGACGAUCCGUAGCUGGUCUGAGAGGAUGAUCAGCCACACUGGAACUGAGACACGGUCCAGACUCCUACGGGAGGCAGCAGUGGGGAAUAUUGGACAAUGGGCGCAAGCCUGAUCCAGCCAUACCGCGUGGGUGAAGAAGGCCUUCGGGUUGUAAAGCCCUUUUGUUGGGAAAGAAAAGCAGCAGGUUAAUACCCCGCUGUUCUGACGGUACCCAAAGAAUAAGCACCGGCUAACUUCGUG